CACAUCCUCGGUCAGCCUGUACACAAAAGAAUGCUCUGUCCUGACUAGGCGUGGAGGAUGUCGAGGUUCUUAGGUGCUGGUUGAGCUCUCAUCCUGAACCUAGACUCAAAGAAUUUAUGAUUCGGAUGAAGAGGAAUAUUUGCAUUCCCCAUACUUCGAGGAAAGUCAGAGCUCCAGAACUACCAGAGGUUCUGAGCUACAAAGCGAACAGCAACCUUCUGAAAUUGAGCCGCAGCAGUCCUCACAAGCUGAGGCAAAUCAGCUAGCUCCAGCCUGGCCACAGCAGCAACAACUGCGACAUGUGGAACUGGAAGCUCCCCAGCAACCAGCUCCUAGGACGCAAGGCCAUGGAAGGGGCCGUGGAAGAGUUAGUCAUGACAGACAUGGUGGAAUUGGAAGAUUUUUGAAGAAGAGAUUAAAGCCUUCAAGAAUCCAUGUGUACUGCGGAUAUAUUUACCUUCUGGAGAUGAAAAUCUGCUACAGUACCUUCUGUCAGGAUGCCAGUCACAAACAUAUCUAACUGUGCAGACAACUCUGUGGAACUACAGAUGAUUCACUUCAAAUCUAAAAACAAGAAUGAUUCACCCAGAGGAAGGAACUGCAGAUUCCUAUGCAACGCCAAUCCUCAUUCUUUAACGCAGCACAAUAUUCUAUACACAAAGAUACAGAUGAAGGUCCAGAAUUAGUCAGGAUCUCUUCAAUAAAACAUUUUUCAG